rnacentral:rRNA from 1 species
AUUGAACGCUGGCGGCAGGCCUAAUACAUGCAAGUCGAACGAGUGGCGGACGGGUGUGUAAUGUCUGGGAACUUGCUAGAAGGAGGGGGAUAACUAGUGGAACCGGUAGUUAAUACCGCAGACCAUUAGAUGCGACCAGAUGGGAUUAGCUUGUUGGUGGGGUAAAGGAUCACCAAGGCGACGAUCCCUAGCUGGUCUGAGAGGAUGACCAGCCACACUGGAACUGAGACACGGUCCAGACUCCUACGGGAGGCAGCAGUGGGGAAUAUUGCGCAAUGGGCGCAAGCCUGAUGCAGCCAUGCCGCGUGUAUGAAGAAGGCCUUCGGGUUGUAAAGUACUUUCAGCAGGGAGGCGUUACCCACACAAGAAGCACCGGCUAACUCCGUGCCAGCAGCCGCGGUAAUAC